CGGGGGACCUAGGGCAGCUUGAAGGCACAGAGAGGAAGUGGGAGCUGGAGGCGGGAUAUGGAUGUGCGGAUCAGACUCACAGCUGGGCAGACAGCGAGCAGGGUCUACAGAGAGACGCGGAACCUCUGCCGCCCACUCCCCCAUUCUGCGCGCUCCCGGCUCCUCCGUGCACUCCUCGCCCGGCGGCCACGCGCCCUGUACGUCCUGCACCCCCGGAGCAGCGGGAUGGAGGAGGAGCUGGCUUGGGAGACCUAUGGCUUGCUUCCCCUGGAGAGACAGCUCCAUGAGGCCUCACGCUGGAAUCAGGUGGAGAGGAUGAAGGGACUGUUUGAGAAGAGGGUUAACAUCAGGGCUAGAAACCAUGUGGGCAGAGUGGCCCUGCACUGGGCUGCAGGUGCUGGACACGAGCAGGCUGUGCGGCUGCUCUUGGAGCAUGGGGCUGCUGUAGACGACGUGGACUCGUUUGGGAUGAAUGCACUUCUCCUGUCUGCCUGGUUUGGCCACUUGCAGAUUGUGCAGAUUCUGGUCAAUGCUGGGGCCAAGGUCCACUGUGAGAGCAAGGACGGCCUGACCUUACUGCACUGUGCAGCCCAGAAAGGCCACAUGCCUGUGCUGGCCUUCGUCAUGGAAGACCUGGAGGAUGUGGCCUUAGACCAUGCAGACAAGCUGGGAAGGACAGCAUUUCACAGAGCUGCCGAGCACGGACAGCUGGAUGCCCUGGACUUCCUCGUGGGCUCUGGCUGUGACCACAGUGUCAAAGACAAGGGGGGGAACACGGCCCUGCACCUGGCUGCCAGCCAGGGCCAUGUAGCCGUGCUGCAGAGACUAGUGGACAUCGGGCUAGACCUGGAAGAGCAGAAUGAGGAGGGCCUGACUGCUUUGCACGCAGCCGCUGAAGGAGGGAUCCACGCUGACUGUGUGAGGCUUCUCCUCAGUGCCGGGAGCAACGUCAAUGCCCUCACCCAGAAAAAGCUGAGCUGCCUCCACUACGCAGCCCUUGGUGGCUCUGAGGAUGUGUCCCGGGCACUCAUCAAGGCAGGAGGGUGCACAAACGUGGCUGACAAGCAGGGCACUGCUCCUAUACACCUUGCUGUGAGGCACAACUUCCCUGGUCUGGUCCAGCUCUUCAUAGAAGCCCACAGUGAUCUGGAUGCCAUGGACAUUAGGCAGCAGACUCCCCUCCACCUCGCUGCCGAGCAUGCCUGGCAGGACGUAGCAGAGAUGCUCCUCAUUGCUGGAGUUGACUUAAGCCUGAGAGAUAAGCAAGGAAAAACAGCCCUGGCAGUAGCCGCCCGCAGCAACCACGUCAGCCUGGUGGACAUGAUCAUCAAAGCUGAGCGUUUUUACAGAUGGGAGAAGGACCACCUUUCAUGCAGGGACACCAGCAACCCUUCUAGAAAGAACCUGACCUUUAAGCAAGACCAUCGGCAGGAAACACAGCAGCUCCGCUCUGUGCUAUGGCGACUGGCUUCCCGGUGUCUGAGGCCCAAUGAGUGGAAGAAACUGGCGUAUUCCUGGGAGUUCACAGAGGCUCAUGUCUGUGCCAUUGAGCAACAGUGGACAGGAACCAGGAGCUACCAGGAGCAUGGUCACCGGAUGCUGCUCAUCUGGCUGCAUGGUAUGGCCACAGCUGGGAAGAACCCCAGCAAAGCACUGUUUGAGGGCCUCGUGGCCAUCGGCAGGAGAGACUUGGCUGUUUGGAAUAAUGCUGAAACAACCCUGAAAUGAGCCGCAGACUGGCUUAAACAUCAAGUUGAGCCUUCCGAGGCCAGCAUAAGAGAGCACCAGGAAGAUGGUAAAUGGCGAGCCCAGGGCCCCCAGGAGAUGCACAGCCAUGUAAGCUUGUGGGAACGCCUUGGGGCCACAGCAUGGAAGAUGUACAGCCAUGUGAGCUUGGGGGAACGCCUCGGGGCCACAGCAUGGAAGAAGAUCUCCGUAAGGGCUUUCAGAGCCGUCCCUGCACACAGACCUCCGGCUGCAUCUACUGAACCAUAGACCCCAGAAGGAAACUAAAGUACUUUUUGGAGGAUGGGAGAUGUGUCUAUCCUAGGUUUUCUGGUCAUCCUAUCCCAGGGGCGUGGCUCUUUGCACUCUCAGCUCACUCAGCUGUAUUCCUGGGGGUGCAUACGUGUGCACAUGCCUCACAUGGGUGUGGAGGAGGCCAGAGGACACUUGGUGGGUAUUUGUCCCCGGGCACUGUCCAUCUUGGGUUUUUUUUGUUGUUGUUGUUUUGAGACAGAGUCAGUCUCUCUAUUCCUGGCAGUCCUAGAACAACCUUGUGUUUUUGAGACAGGACCUCUCACUGACCUAACUAGACUGACUGACCAGUGAGCCCAGUGACCCUCCUGUCUUGCCUCCCCAGUCCCGGGCUUACAAGUGUGUGCCACCAUGUCCUGGUUUUUGUGUGGGUUCUGAGGGUCAAACUCGGGUCCUUAUGUUGCAGGGCAAGUAUACAGACUGAGCUGUCUCCCAGGCCUCUCAGCUCACUUCUCUUCCAUUAUCUUAGAUCAUCAUGAAGCACCCCCUUGAGGUGCAAGGGGUGUCUUUACAGCUAGGGCACUGAGGUCCAGGGAGGAGAAACCUCUUGUCCAGGUCAUACCACAAAUCAAGUGAUAUCAAAACCAGCAUUCCUCCGACCCCAGCCUGCAGGAAGGGCUUCAUCACCUUCAAACUGGAUUGUCCUUAAGUCAUUAAGGAUAACUCACUAAUCUCUAGUGCCAAACAGACAGAAACUGCCAUGCUGUUCCCAUAGCUGUUUGUAUUUAUAAGUCCGUUUGUAUAUGUUGACAGUCCAGGAGGCAUGCAUUCUUCUUUUUCUUCCCUCUAACUGGAUAAUUGGAUAUGUAAUUUUAAAUGUUUUUUUUUAUCUUGAAAUCAUUUCAGACUUAUAAAAGUUGCAAAACAGUACUGAGAAUGUUCUGCAUGAAGCUUCUGUAAACGUUAACUCUUACACAACUCCAGUGUGUUUUUGUAAAAUCAGGAAGUUAGAGGUUGGAGAGAUGGCUCAGUGGUUGAGAGCCCUUGUUCUUGCAGAGGACCCUGGGUUCAGAUCCCAGCACCCACAUGGCAGCUCACAACUGUCUCUAACUCUGACUCCAGGUGAUCUGACACCCUCUUCUGGCCUCCAGCAUUACUGCCUGUAUGUGGGGUGUGUGUGUGUGUGUGUGUGUGUGUGUGUGUGUGUGUGUGUGUGUGUGUAUGUAUGUGUGUAUACAUGCAUGCACGAUUCUAUGUGUAUGUGUGUUCAGGUACACACGCAUACACAUGAAAUCUUCUUUUAAAAAUUAAGAAACUAACAAUGUUUACAAACUAUUCACUAAUCCCCGACCACAUUCAAAUUUUGUCAAUGUUUUGUCAUCUCCUGUAUUAAUAUCUGGUCCGGGAUCACAGAUUACAUUUAGACAUUUUAAUUGUCACUCUAUUGUGUUUCUUUGGUGCUGGAGACUGAACGCAGGGUCUCACAUGUGCUAAAUGCAUGCUAUACUACUGAGUUAACACCCUCAGCAUUUGUUUUUGUUUUAGAUAGGGUCUCUCUGGGUAGCCCAAGCCAGCCUCAAACUUGAGAACCUCUCACCUCAGCCUCCCAAAUACUGGGAUUACAAGGUAUGCACCACCAAACCUGCCCCUGCCACACAUUUGCUUACUUAUUGUGUGUGUCACACCUUUGGAGGUCAGAGGACAGCCUGCCAGAGUCAAUUUUCUCCCUUGACCCUGUGGGUCCUGGCCUUGAACUCAGGUCAUCAGUGUAGACAGAGUUUUCCUGUCCCACAGCCACUCUCAAAUAAACACACUGAGACUUAAUAUUAAUUACAAUGCUCUGCCAAUAGCUCAGGCUUGUUACUAACUAGCUCUUACAACUUAACCCACUUCUAUUAAUGUAUGUGCUUCCCUGAGGCUUUUACAUCUAACCCAUUUUGUGUGUCUGACUCAUUUUCCUUGUGGCUGGUGACCCUCUGACUCCGCCCUUCCUCAUCCCAUCAUUCUCAGUUUGGCUUUCCUGCCUGACUUUAUCCUGUUCAGCUAUCGGCCAGUCAGCUUGUUUAUUAAAGCAAUCAUAGCAACAUAUAUUCCCACAGUGUACAGAAGGAUUAUUCCACAGCACAUCAUACUUGAUGGCAAACACUUCACCCACUGAGCUAUCUGGCUAGACCCCUAUCUGCUCUCCAGUUUUUCUUUUUAGAUUUAAAAUUUUUAUUUUAUGUGUAUGACUUGCAUGCUUGUAUGUAUGCACACCACAUCUGUACCUGGUGCCCCAGGAGGCCAGAAGAGGCAUCAGAUUCCCUGAAACUGGAGUUAACAGAGGUCAUGAUCCACACUGUGGAUACUGGGAACUGAACCCAGAUCCUCAACAAAGUAUCCUUCACUGCUGCGCCAUCUCCCAGCCUCUCACCUCCUCUUUAAUAGUCCCAUGAGAAGUAGAACGUGCUGCACCGGGAGGGAUGUUUCAUAGCUGCACAUCCAGGAUGGACCCACUUGCCAUUGUGGCUGCUGAGCACUGUACAGUGGGUAAGGCUGAGGAACUGAAUUUUCAACUUUAUCCAGUUUUUCUUUUGUUGUUUUUAUUUUUUUGAGACAGGGUUUCUCUGUGAAACAGUCCUGGUUAUCCUGGAACUCGCUCUGUAGACCAGGCUGGCCUCACACUCUCAGAGAUCUGCCUGCCUCUGACUCCUGAGUGCUGGGAUUAAAGGCAUGCACCACCACUGCCCAGCCUGUUUUAACUUUCAAAACGUGCAGGUGCAUAAAGGAAUGUGGCAUUCUGGCAAAGGUUGAAUGAUGACUAAAGGUCAGUAGUCACUGGGGCUCAGGGUGAGGAGGAAGGAUCAGUAGAUGGCAUCCAGAGUACUGUUGGGACGAGGAAGCUGUUCUUUCUGGUAAUAGUGGAUACAUGAUAUUGAACAGUACUCAAAACCCACGAGACACACAACGCUGUCAGCCCUGAUGCAAGCUGUGGACUUCAGUUAGUAAUGUUUAGUACAAGCUGGUGAUGUGGCUCAGUGGAUGGAAUGCUGACUUGGCAUUCACGAAAGCUUUGGCGCCAUCUCUGGCUUGAACCGGGUGUGGUGGUGUGCUCAGCAACAUAGUGAGUUUGAAGCCAGAUUGAGCUACAGGAGACUCUGUCUAAAAAAAAAAAAAAAGGAAGGCCAGGCAGUGGUUGUUAUGAAUUAUUGCACAGAGGUGUGUGUGUGUGGCGGGGUGAGGCAAGGGUAUCCCGUGCAUGUAUGGAAACAGGCUGGGCCGAUGAUGUAGCGGCUGGCUGGGCAGAUGCACCACCAUGUGGGCAUGGUGGUGGCAGUGGUGGCCAGUAAUUCACAACCCAGAUGCUGCAUCCAUGUGGAGAGUUUAUUAGAGAGACGAAGAGAAAGAUAGGAGAGAGAGAGAGAGAGAGAGAGAGACAGAGACAGAGACAGAGACAGAGACAGAGACAGAGACAGAGGAAGGAAGGGGAGGAGUUUUUCCUCAGAAUGAGGCCUUUACAUCAGAAUGCAAGGCCAGCACCAAGGGGGUGGGAUUUCAAAUGGGUGGGAUUUCAAGGGGCUGAUCAGAAUAUUAACAGUGGUGGUACAUGCCUUUAAUCCCAGCAUUCAGGAGGCAGAGGCAGGUGGAUUUCAGAGUUAGAGCUAACUUGGUCUACAGAGUGAGUUCUGGGACAGCUCGGGCUACACAGAGUAAUCUUGUCUCAAAAAACAAAACAAAAACCUCAAGCAAGCAAACAAAUAAAUAAAAUGAAGGAAGGAAGAAACAAAGAAAGAAAGAAAGGAGCAUCAGGCUGGGCAGCAGUGGCGCACACCUUCAAUCCCAGCACUCGGAAGGCAGAGCCAGGCGGAUCUCUGUGAGUUCGAGGCCAGCCUGGGCUACAGAGCGAGAUCCAGGACAGGCACCAAAGCUACAACUACACAGCAAAACCCUGUCUCGAAAAAAAGAAAAAAAGAGCUUUAUAAUUUUGGUUUUAUAUUUAGUCCUUUAAACUAUUGUAUUAAAAUUUUCUAUAUAAGAAUUCAAUGUUUAGACUUCUGAAUAUGGCUAUUUCAUUUUCUCACUACUAUUUUUUGAAAAAAUAUUUCAUUACAUAAUAUAAAUAUCUACAAAAUAUUCCCAAUGACUGUCAAUAAAUAUGGAUUUAUUAAUGUCUCA